rnacentral:rRNA from 1 species
CACCGCCCGUCACACCAUGGGAGUUGACUGCUCCAGAAGUGGCUGAGCUAACCCGCAAGGGAUGCAGGCCCCCAAGGAGUGGUUGGUAACUGGGGUG